CAUCAGAUGUGCCCAGAUGGGAUUAGCUAGUAGGUGGGGUAAUGGCUCACCUAGGCGACGAUCCCUAGCUGGUCUGAGAGGAUGACCAGCCACACUGGAACUGAGACACGGUCCAGACUCCUACGGGAGGCAGCAGUGGGGAAUAUUGCACAAUGGGCGCAAGCCUGAUGCAGCCAUGCCGCGUGUAUGAAGAAGGCCUUCGGGUUGUAAAGUACUUUCAGCGGGGAGAAAGGUGUUGUGGUUAAUAACCACAGC
rnacentral:rRNA from 1 species